rnacentral:rRNA from 1 species
GACGAACGCUGGCGGCGUGCUUAACACAUGCAAGUCGAACGGAAAGGCCCUGCUUUUGUGGGGUGCUCGAGUGGCGAACGGGUGAGUAACACGUGAGUAACCUGCCCUUGACUUUGGGAUAACUUCAGGAAGCUGGGGCUAAUACCGGAUAGGAGCUCCUGCUGCAUGGUGGGGGUUGGAAAGUUUCGGCGGUUGGGGAUGGACUCGCGGCUUAUCAGCUUGUUGGUGGGGUAGUGGCUUACCAAGGCUUUGACGGGUAGCCGGCCUGAGAGGGUGACCGGCCACAUUGGGACUGAGAUACGGCCCAGACUCCUACGUGAGGCAGCAGUGGGGAAUAUUGCACAAUGGGCGGAAGCCUGAUGCAGCAACGCCGCGUGCGGGAUGACGGCCUUCGGGUUGUAAACCGCUUUCGCCUGUGACGAAGCGUGAGUGACGGUAAUGGGUAAAGAAGCACCGGCUAACUACGUG